UGGCAGCCCAUCAAGCUGGACUGAAUGAGGAGGGGGAUGCCUUCCGCCCCUCGCACAGCUCCUCUGAGCCGUCGGGGCUCGCUGCUCAGCUGAGGUCCUGUGUGGCCUCUCCUGGUCACCAGGCCCCUUCCGCCCUCCACUUGUUCAUUCGGGGUGCAAGCUCUCACCAUCUGGGGGCGCACACCCCCAGGGCCGCGGACUCCACUCAGCCAACAAAUGAGAAAGCUGGUGAAGGCCCCUGUGCGGUUCCCGCCUCAGCCAGAGCCAUGGGCUCCCUGAUACUCACAUGUGCUCCGUGGCGGCUGGAGGCAUGAGCACGUGUGGGUGGGCGCAGGAGAACAGCUCCGGCUGCAGCCACUUUCCAGGGCCGCGCUGCCACAUGGAGGGAGGACAGCUCGGAGGACUCGGCGACGACUGCAACUACCCUGGCUCCCACUGUCUGCAGGAGUGCUGAGGCAUCAGAAGGGACUUCCAGGAGGGUGGCAUCACGGUGAAGACAACAGGUGUGUGCCCGAAGGACUGGCCCUCCAGAGAAUUUAUUUGCUAUCCAUCAUCCAAGUGGCAGAAAAGUAGGAUAGGAAGUUUUCAUUAUCUAGACAGCUGGGUUUUCAAAGGCAUGGAGACGUUUGAGGCUGUCUGACGAGAGCAUCAGGAAAAGUGGGGACAUGUCGUGCCUGUAAAGAUGGUUUUUACCAAAAGUUCUUACUUGUCUCUGCCGGUUCUCAAUUAGCCGCUCCCGCUCAUCAUUUCGGCUCUGUCGGCCUUCUUUUCCACCAUCUGACUUAAAUCCAUGAACUCAGAGUGACAUUUCCUGUGAUUAUUUCAGAGAAUGUGGGCGGAUGCCUGGUUCCAAAUCACAAGGACUGGCUGACACUAUAUCCCUUUGGAUAGGAUGCCCUGGAAACAACGAUAGCACCGCACUCACCUGGUACUCCGGCCAGAAACACGUGACUUCCGUUGAGCCGGGAGGAAACGUCACACAGACUCAGACCGAAGCACAAAAUCCGACAAAGUAAGCAGCCAGUCCUCUUCAGACCUGUCAAGGCCGUGAAAGCCACAGGCCAAGGGAGCUCACAGGCCACAGACUGGCCCAGAUCCUGUUGCAGACAGAGGAAGUCCUGGGAAUGCAGGUAGGGUCUUGGUGCAGCCUGCAGGUGGACGGCCCCGUGCCUGGCCACGCACAGUGUGAGCACCAGGAGGAGCCGGGAGGGCACAUGGAGACUCUGCAGUCUUUGCAACUUUUCUGUGAGUCUAAAAGUAUUCCAGAAUUUUUUUAAAGCAGCUGAAAGCUUCAUGCCGCCACAGACUGACCUGCUAAGAGUCUCUUCAGGGCGACUGCAGGAAAGGCCUGCCACGGGCUUCAUCCCAGAGGAACUGUGGGGUAACACAGAGCUGAAGGGAAGGAGCCUGCCAAGAAGAGCCCCGAGCCUCCGCCUCCUCAAGCGGUGACGAGAUUGUCCCUGCAGCAGACUCUCUCUGGUGCCGCCACCAAACACCGCAGGCCGUCCCGCCUCAGGAUGGCAGUCAGACACACCUGAGUCUCCACGAACGCAUCCCAGCUCGGGUCCCUCCACGCGGGAGGCCAGGGCUCCAUACGAUGGUGGCAGCAAAGGUGAGACCAGAAGCCCCAAUGCCCAGGGGGAGGUUACCUGCAGCCACAGAAGCCCGUCUUUCCACCGUGAAGAAGGUCGGAGCCAUGCCCCUCAAGCUGCAGGAGGGGAGAGUCUGGAACUGACGAUGUGAGAAACCCCGAUGCAACAAGGGCUGGGGUAGGAGGCGGCUGAGAAACGUGCCACCUCCCAGGACCUUCACAAGCAUGUUUCAAACAGGCCCUUAGCACCUGAGGCUGCCAGACUCUGGCCAUGAGAGGCGGCAAUGUCCUGGGCUCCCGGGGCCUCCACUGGGCACCUGCGGGCAUCUGGUCCAGGCGCCUCCCACCGCUGGAGCCCAUGGGCCUUGCUUCUUGGGCAGUGCUGCCAGGUCCGCUCCACAGCCACCCCGCAGCGAUCGUGUUCCCAACACUGGGCAGAUGACCCCCAGAUCGACACUCAGAAGAGCCUCCGUCUACACAGAAGGUGGGUGCCUGCACUCACCCCCCCAGCAAAGCCGCUGCCUGCAGGCCCGCUAAGGGCCACGGGCCCCCAUCACAAAGUCCAAGGCGCGUCUGUCGGGCACAGAGGAAGGAGACCAACGUCUCCACGUGGAUUAAAACAAGGGGAAAUGGUAUUUCCAAAUGUCUCAGUGUCCAUGAGCUGAAAGGAAAGCCAAGGCCACAGGCCUCUUCCGCGCAGUUUAUUGACAAUUUUAAACAGACUCUGUUACUCCUCGUGCAGCUGACAUCACAUUCUGGCUAAAGGGAGAAUCCUGAAAUAUUUAUAUGAGUAUAAUUGAUGGUGGCAGUCCACUCACAACGCAUUUUCAUGUUGCUGUUAAACGGAAAGCCUCUCUCACUAUUUUACAGGCAAUAAUUCCCAUCCAGGCACGUGAGUCCCUGGCUUCUUCUGUGAAUUCUGCUGGCCAGUUAGUAUGUGAUGCAUGUUCCACUGGAAACUAUAUGUAGACAUUAAAAAAAUUUUAUGUUUACACUGAGAUUUUCUCUGCAGUGCAUUAGUUAUGUGAAGAUAAUACUAGAUUUGUUGCUUAAAUUCAAAAAAUAUUUUUCUUCCUCCCAAAAGAUUUCCAUAAUCAUGAAUUAGCAAAGCAUGGAUAUCACAGCUCCUCUGUGAUAUCCAAUUCCAUCAUGAGUCCUUACGGAUCAUUUUUGCCGUGAUCUUUGAUUUGGUCUUGAUGCCCAGCAGCUCCCUCAGCCCCUUUGAAACCCAGAGCUGGCACCUCCUUACGGGAGGCAGAGCCUGCUGAUCCCCCCUCCCCCCCCGGGAGGUUGGUCUUCAUGACAUGGAGAGAUGCACAGGGAUAUCCUGCUUCUGACGCCUGCACGCGGUCCCUAAUUAGCGUUAAUGAGAGUUACACAUGCGUAUCCAAAAACAGGCCCCGUAAUGUUUAAGUUAAUGUGGGGUAAAUUAUAGUACAGGAAAUAUCAAUGCUUCUUAAAAUGAGCUAAACUGGCUGUGAGAUUCUGUUAGCUACAGAAGCAUCACAAAGGCACAGAAGCUCGCAGGCCUUUGGAGACCCAACCAAACCCUUCUGGCCGCAGCAAGGUGAAUUUAUUGAACAUCUACUGUGUGCAGCUGAGGGCAGGAGGGGUCCACACUGGCAUCACUGCCCCCUGCCUGCAGAGGGAGAAGUGAGCUCACAGGAUCCCACGGGGGCCUCAUUCCUGGCUCCUCACCCUGCAGAGCCCCCCGGGAGACUGACCCCCCUCCACACCAGGGAUCGGUCAGGGUCAGGAUGUCAGGGUCGCUGCUAAUGGUUAGAAAUGCAUCCCGCCUCAGCAUGGGGGAUCAAGAAGCUGCACCUCAGCCAACUCCAGCAAACCCAGUGCUCCACCAAGCCAGGAUGCGCCCCAAGCCCUGGACCCUCUUUCUCGGCCCCCGGCCCCAUGCACAGCCCUCCACUCGCUGCUCUGGACUCGUAUAUUCUCACUUCUACUUGAGCCCACGCCCGUCCCUCCACCACUGCUCGCCCCUCACUCUGGCUGCCACCCGCAGACUCAGCAGGGCCACCUUGGGAACCGCCUCCUCACCCACCCAACCCCUCCAUCCAGGCCUCAGCCUCUAGGACCUGUAGAGUCAUCACGGUGGACAUUACACCUCCCACACGCUCACUCUCCUGCAGAGCCACGCCCUGUCUCCCACAUGUGCUGUGUCCACGGGGCCUGGGGCAGCCCGGUCGGUGGCUCAGCCCCCCAAGGACAGGGAAGAGGAGAGGAGAGUACAGCUUGGCGCUACCGGCUUGCGUGUUUCCACAGCGUGACCUCGCCUGUCCCCACUGCACAAGCCCCUGGUCUCCACUGAGACUCAGGACCAGGCCCAGGUCUCCGUGCCGCGGUGAUGACUCUUCCCCAAGGGAGCUUCCUGAGUGCCCAGCCCUAUGCCACAUCCUCAGCCGGCAGCUGCAUCUUAUCUACCACAGACUCAAGCCCCCGCCUGCUCGGUGGUGCUCUCAUGUCUCACCUCGGCUCAGGGUCUAUAUGUUGCACUUGCCUGGGAAUAUAUUUAUUGUGUUUCCAAUAGGUGCCAAAUACCAGUUCUCUUGCCAAAUAAACUGUUCGGGGGAUCAACAGCCAAAUCUCUGAGGUGGUCCCCGAAAUGCCUCAUGGGGACAUCAGGUUUGUAACACGAACACAAGGCAUCAUCUUCUCAUCGUGAUGACUUUUUGAUUUGUUUUCUUUUUUGGGGGUCAAUCUCUCUAAAGCAGUUUGAGUUAUAAAA